AAUGAACGCUGGCGGCAUGCCUAACACAUGCAAGUCGAACGAUUGCCUUCGGGGGUUAGUGGCGCACGGGUGCGUAACGCGUGGGAAUCUGCCCUUAGGUUCGGAAUAACAGCUGGAAACGGCUGCUAAUACCGGCUGAUAUCGCGAGAUCAAAGAUUUAUCGCCUAAGGAUGCGCGCGCGUUGGAUUAGGUAGUUGGUGGGGUAAAGGCAUACCAAGCCGACGAUGCAUAGCUGGGCUGAGAGGAUGUUCAGACACACUGGUGCUGAGACACGGCCCAGACUCCUACGGGAGGCAGGAGUGGGGGAUAUUGGACAGUGGGCGCAAGCAUGAUCCAGCAAUGCCGCGUGAGUGAUGAAGGCAGUAGGGUUGUAAAGCUCUUUUACCCGGGAAGAUAAUGACUGUACCGGGAGAAUAAGCCCCGGCUAACUCCGUG
rnacentral:rRNA from 1 species